AUACAGAGGGUGCGAGCGUUAAUCGGAAUUACUGGGCGUAAAGCGCGCGUAGGCGGCUUAUUAAGUCAGAUGUGAAAUCCCAGGGCUCAACCUUGGAACUGCAUCUGAUACUGGUAAGCUAGAGUUUAGGAGAGGGAAGUAGAAUUUCAGGUGUAGCGGUGAAAUGCAUAGAGAUCUGAAGGAAUACCAGUGGCGAAGGCGACUUCCUGGCCUAAAACUGACGCUGAGGUGCGAAAGCGUGGGUAGCAAACGGGAUUAGAAACCCUAGUAGUCC
rnacentral:rRNA from 1 species